rnacentral:rRNA from 1 species
UGAACGCUGGCGGCGUGCUUAACACAUGCAAGUCGAACGGUAACAGCAGAGCUUGCUCUGGCUGACGAGUGGCGCACGGGUGAGUAAUAUAUAGUUAAUGUGCCUCGAAGACCGGGAUAGCCAUUGGAAACGAUGAUUAAUACUGGAUAUACCUACUAAUCAUAAGUUUAGUAGGGAAACGUUUUUUCGCUUCGAGAUCAGACUAUAUCCCAUCAGUUAGUUGGUAGUGUAAGAGACUACCAAGGCAAUGACGGGUAGCGGGUUUGAGAGGAUGAUCCGCCACACUGGUACUGAGACACGGACCAGACUCCUACGGGAGGCAGCAGUGAGGAAUAUUGCACAAUGGGGGAAACCCUGAUGCAGCAACGCCGCGUGGAGGAUGACGCAUUUCGGUGUGUAAACUCCUUUUAUAUGUCAAGAAAAUGACGGUAGCAUAUGAAUAAGCACCGGCUAACUCC